AUUGAACGCUGGCGGCAGGCCUAACACAUGCAAGUCGAGCGGAUUAUGGGAGCUUGCUCCUGGUUUCAGCGGCGGACGUGUGAGUAAUGCCUAGGACUCUGCCUGGUCGUGGGGGAUACCGUCCGGACACGGGCGCUAAUACCGCAUACGUCCUGUGGGAGGAAGUGGGGGGUAUUCGUACCUCUCGCUUUCAGGUGAGCCCAGGUGGGAUUCGCUAGUUUGUGGGGUAAAGGCCUACCCAGGCGACGAUCCGUAACUGGGCGGAUAGGAUGAUCAGUCACACUGGAACUGAGACACGGUCCAGACUCCUACGGGAGGCAGCAGUGGGGAAUAUUGGACAAUGGGCGAAAGACUGAUCCAGCCAUGCCGCGUGUGUGAAGAAGGUCUUCGGAUUGUAAAGCACUUUAAGUUGGGAGGAAGGGCAGUAAGUUAAUACCUUGCUGUUUUGACGUUACCAACAGAAUAAGCACCGGCUAACUUCGUG
rnacentral:rRNA from 1 species